GCCCGCUUAGCGCAGUGGUAGCGCGUGACACUUCUAUCAUUCUUGAUUGAUGAAUUGCGAUGUCGAGGCCGCGAGUUCGAUCCUCGCAGUGGGUU